UACGUAGGGUGCAAGCGUUGUCCGGAAUUAUUGGGCGUAAAGAGCUCGUAGGCGGUCUGUCGCGUCGGCUGUGAAAUCCCGGAGCUCAACUCCGGGUCUGCAGUCGAUACGGGCAAACUGGAGUACUGCAGGGGAGACUGGAAUUACUGGUGUAGCGGUGAAAUGCGCAGAUAUCAGGAGGAACACCGGUGGCGAAGGCGGGUCUCUGGGCAGUAACUGACGCUGAGGAGCGAAAGCGUGGGGAGCGAACAGG
rnacentral:rRNA from 1 species